UCUCUCCCCCCCUCUCUCUCUUCUGCCUUUCUCUCUCUCUCUAAACGCAAGCGCGUUCCUGGCGUUUAUACUCUGAAAUGUUCGCUCUGGUAGGAGGGAAACUCUGCUCUGACUUGCGUCAGGAAGCACAUAGAGGGAAGUUUAAAAGCUGUUUUUUUCUCUUGCAGCGAGCUGGAGGACUAGGAGGAGGGGACUCACUGCUAUUGUUCCUCCUGAAACAAUGAAAACUGCGGGGUGACAUGCAGCGGUGCGCACAUAAAUGGUCACCGACGUGGGGGGGUCAAUGGCCCUGGGGUCACCAUUCCCAGCGCCUUACAAUGCACCCCGCGCAAGGCUGGGGCUGCAAGGGUCAAAGGCCAGCUCCGCUUUUGUCCUGCACUUCAAAACACAUAAACAUUUAUUAAUCAAGAGCCCGGCGCUGGGCCCCCUUUGGUAGAGAAAAAAAAAAAAAAAGAAUGAGGGAGAAGAGGGGUGUAAGGAGGGGAAAGGGAGAAAUAACCACUGUAAGCAGAAGCACAUUCCAUCAUUUGGGCAGAAGUUUGAAAAAGUUGUAGCCACUGGUAGAAACCUUUGGAUUUUGUUUGCUGAACUUCUGCAUAAAGGAACCGAAUAUGUGUUGUUUCAGAAACAUUUUCAUCUUAACACGAAAGGAACAUAUGGGGGGCAGCCGAUUUUUUAAAAUGGAUUUUUGAAGAAAAUAACAAAGGAUGCAAGGAGCGCCACGGGAACCUUCUGCGGUUUAAAAAAGCGCAAAAACUGGAAUAAUCUCCGACAAGCCAGGAGUACUGUCUCUUUUAUUUUUCAUUUUAAGGGCCUUCCUCUGCAGCUUGAUCCUUUCAUCGAACGUUUAUCAAUUCUCUGUUUAUAUUUAGAUUCUUAAAAAAA